rnacentral:lncRNA from 1 species
UUUGAAGGCUAGGAUCAGAAGGUUUAGGUUUUUGGUUAAGGUUUUGGUGCAAGUUUUGUGUCAUUUGGGGUUUUAAUGAAGAAGUUAGAGGCGCUCAAAGUUAAGGUAUUAGUUUUGGACCUACUGUCACUCUUUUGGGCAUAACGCACACGUACAGACGGCAAUUGAGGAUCGGCGACUGCGACUGGAGAGAUCACUUUUGCGACUAUACUUUUCACAUAUUGUUUACUGGAUUCAAAGUUGCGAUAAAGGAGUUAUUGGAUUUUGAAGUCAGCACAUGCAAUCUAAAGGUAGUAAGUAAACCGAUUUAUUAGUGUUUGUCUCUUGAACUAUAUCUUGAGCAAUUUUGUAAGGUUUUGGCUCAAAAUUUCAAGGAAUGUGUAAUUGCAUGUUAGUAAACUUUUUACAUAAGUUUUAUGACAUUUGGAGUUCGGGUUUUUGAGAUAUAAGGAAAAUAGUUUUCGGGUGCUUGUAAAUUAGGGUUUGGAGUGUCUGCUAGGGUUUCUUAGAUGCCAGAAGAUCGGGAGUGAAUUUUCGGUUGGUUUUUUUUGUGGUACAAGUUAAGGGUAAAUUCUACCUAUCUUGUAAAUUUGAAACAAACUGAACGGUUAGAUCAAUAGUUAUGAUUUUCUAAAGUUCCGGGCGAGAAAACCCUUCGCGGGAAAAAUAUGUUUUGAAGGGAUUUUGUUAUAUUUGGAGUUUUAUACAAAAAUAAAGGAGUUUUGGAAGC